rnacentral:rRNA from 1 species
AGUGAACGCUGGCGGUAUGCCUAACACAUGCAAGUCGAACGGCAGCACAGUAAGAGCUUGCUCGUACGGGUGGCGAGUGACGGACGGGUGAGGAAUACAUCGGAAUCUACUUUUUCGUGGGGGAUAACGGAGGGAAACUGACGCUAAUACCGCAUACUACCUACGGGUGAAAUCAGGGGGUCUUCGGACCUUGCGCGAUUGAACGAGCCGAUGUCGGAUUAGCUAGUUGGCGGGGUAAAGGCCCACCAAGGCGACGAUCCGUAGCUGUCCUGAGAGGAUGAUCAGCCACACUGGAACUGAGACACGGCCCAGACUCCUACGGGAGGCAGCAGUGGGGAAUAUUGGACAAUGGGCGCAAGCCUGAUCCAGCAAUACCGCGUGGGUGAAGAAGGCCUUCGGGUUGUAAAGCCCUUUUGUUGGGAAAGAAAAGCAGCAGGUUAAUCUCCCGCUGUUCUGACGGUACCCAACGAAUAAGCCACGGCUAACUUCGUG